rnacentral:rRNA from 1 species
CGAAGGGGGCUAGCGUUGUUCGGAAUUACUGGGCGUAAAGCGCACGUAGGCGGAUCGAUCAGUCAGGGGUGAAAUCCCGCAGCUCAACUGCGGAACUGCCUUUGAUACUGUCGGUCUAGAGUAUGGAAGAGGUGAGUGGAAUUCCGAGUGUAGAGGUGAAAUUCGUAGAUAUUCGGAGGAACACCAGUGGCGAAGGCGGCUCACUGGUCCAUUACUGACGCUGAGGUGCGAAAGCGUGGGAGCAAACAGGAUU